rnacentral:rRNA from 1 species
CGAUGAAGGACGUGCUAAUCUGCGAUAAGCGCCGGUAAGGUGAUAUGAACCGUUAUAACCGGCGAUUUCCGAAUGGGGAAACCCAGUGUGACUCGUCACACUAUCAUUAACUGAAUCCAUAGGUUAAUGAGGCGAACCGGGGGAACUGAAACAUCUAAGUACCCCGAGGAAAAGAAAUCAACCGAGAUUCCCCCAGUAGCGGCGAGCGAACGGGGAGGAGCCCAGAGCCUGAAUCAGCAUGUGUGUUAGUGGAAGCGUCUGGAAAGGCGCGCGAUACAGGGUGACAGCCCCGUACACAAAAGCGCAUGUGCUGUGAGCUCGAUGAGUAGGGCGGGACACGUGGUAUCCUGUCUGAAUAUGGGGGGACCAUCCUCCAAGGCUAAAUACUCCUGACUGACCGAUAGUGAACCAGUACCGUGAGGGAAAGGCGAAAAGAACCCCGGCGAGGGGAGUGAAAAAGAACCUGAAACCGUGUACGUACAAGCAGUGGGAGCACCCUUUUGGGUGUGACUGCGUACCUUUUGUAUAAUGGGUCAGCGACUUAUAUUCUGUAGCAAGGUUAACCGAAUAGGGGAGCCGGAGGGAAACCGAGUCUUAAUUGGGCGUUAAGUUGCAGGGUAUAGACCCGAAACCCGGUGAUCUAGCCAUGGGCAGGUUGAAGGUUGGGUAACACUAACUGGAGGACCGAACCGACUAAUGUUGAAAAAUUAGCGGAUGACCUGUGGCUGGGGGUGAAAGGCCAAUCAAACCGGGAGAUAGCUGGUUCUCCCCGAAAGCUAUUUAGGUAGCGCCUCGUGAAUUCAUCUCCGGGGGUAGAGCACUGUUUCGGCUAGGGGGCCAUCCCGGCUUACCAACCCGAUGCAAACUGCGAAUACCGGAGAAUGUUAUCACGGGAGACACACGGCGGGUGCUAACGUCCGUCGUGAAGAGGGAAACAACCCAGACCGCCAGCUAAGGUCCCAAAGUCAUGGUUAAGUGGGAAACGAUGUGGGAAGGCCCAGACAGCCAGGAUGUUGGCUUAGAAGCAGCCAUCAUUUAAAGAAAGCGUAAUAGCUCACUGGUCGAGUCGGCCUGCGCGGAAGAUGUAACGGGGCUAAACCAUGCACCGAAGCUGCGGCAGCGACGCUGAUGCGUUGUUGGGUAGGGGAGCGUUCUGUAAGCCUGCGAAGGUGGCCUGUGAGGGUUGCUGGAGGUAUCAGAAGUGCGAAUGCUGACAUAAGUAACGAUAAAGCGGGUGAAAAGCCCGCUCGCCGGAAGACCAAGGGUUCCUGUCCAACGUUAAUCGGGGCAGGGUGAGUCGACCCCUAAGGCGAGGCCGAAAGGCGUAGUCGAUGGGAAACGGGUUAAUAUUCCCGUACUUGGUGUUACUGCGAAGGGGGGACGGAGAAGGCUAUGUUGGCCGGGCGACGGUUGUCCCGGUUUAAGCGUGUAGGUGUGUGUUCCAGGUAAAUCCGGUUCACUUUAACACUGAGGCGUGAUGACGAGGCACUACGGUGCUGAAGCAACAAAUGCCCUGCUUCCAGGAAAAGCCUCUAAGCAUCAGGUAACAUCAAAUCGUACCCCAAACCGACACAGGUGGUCAGGUAGAGAAUACCAAGGCGCUUGAGAGAACUCGGGUGAAGGAACUAGGCAAAAUGGUGCCGUAACUUCGGGAGAAGGCACGCUGACACGUAGGUGAAGUGAUUUACUCACGGAGCUGAAGUCAGUCGAAGAUACCAGCUGGCUGCAACUGUUUAUUAAAAACACAGCACUGUGCAAACACGAAAGUGGACGUAUACGGUGUGACGCCUGCCCGGUGCCGGAAGGUUAAUUGAUGGGGUCAGCGCAAGCGAAGCUCCUGAUCGAAGCCCCGGUAAACGGCGGCCGUAACUAUAACGGUCCUAAGGUAGCGAAAUUCCUUGUCGGGUAAGUUCCGACCUGCACGAAUGGCGUAAUGAUGGCCAGGCUGUCUCCACCCGAGACUCAGUGAAAUUGAACUCGCUGUGAAGAUGCAGUGUACCCGCGGCAAGACGGAAAGACCCCGUGAACCUUUACUAUAGCUUGACACUGAACAUUGAGCCUUGAUGUGUAGGAUAGGUGGGAGGCUUUGAAGCGUGGACGCCAGUCUGCGUGGAGCCGACCUUGAAAUACCACCCUUUAAUGUUUGAUGUUCUAACGUGGACCCGUUACCCGGGUUGCGGACAGUGUCUGGUGGGUAGUUUGACUGGGGCGGUCUCCUCCUAAAGAGUAACGGAGGAGCACGAAGGUUGGCUAAUCCUGGUCGGACAUCAGGAGGUUAGUGCAAUGGCAUAAGCCAGCUUGACUGCGAGCGUGACGGCGCGAGCAGGUGCGAAAGCAGGUCAUAGUGAUCCGGUGGUUCUGAAUGGAAGGGCCAUCGCUCAACGGAUAAAAGGUACUCCGGGGAUAACAGGCUGAUACCGCCCAAGAGUUCAUAUCGACGGCGGUGUUUGGCACCUCGAUGUCGGCUCAUCACAUCCUGGGGCUGAAGUAGGUCCCAAGGGUAUGGCUGUUCGCCAUUUAAAGUGGUACGCGAGCUGGGUUUAGAACGUCGUGAGACAGUUCGGUCCCUAUCUGCCGUGGGCGCUGGAGAACUGAGGGGGGCUGCUCCUAGUACGAGAGGACCGGAGUGGACGCAUCACUGGUGUUCGGGUUGUCAUGCCAAUGGCACUGCCCGGUAGCUAAAUGCGGAAGAGAUAAGUGCUGAAAGCAUCUAAGCACGAAACUUGCCCCGAGAUGAGUUCUCCCUGAGACUUAGAGUCUCCUGAAGGAACGUUGAAGACGACGACGUUGAUAGGCCGGGUGUGUAAGCGCAGCGAUGCGUUGAGCUAACCGGUACUAAUGAACCGUGAGGCUUAACCUUACAACGCCGAAG